UACGUAGGUGGCGAGCGUUGUCCGGAUUUACUGGGCGUAAAGAGCGCGCAGGCGGUCGUACAAGUCGCGUGUGAAAGCCCCCGGCUCAACUGGGGAGGGUCACGCGAUACUGUUCGACUCGAAGGCAGGAGAGGGAAGCGGAAUUCCCGGUGUAGUGGUGAAAUGCGUAGAUAUCGGGAGGAACACCAGUGGCGAAGGCGGAUCUCUGGGCCAUAACUGACGCUGAGGAGCGAAAGCAUGGGGAGCGAACAGG
rnacentral:rRNA from 1 species